AAAAAAUGUAUUUGAAAGUUCUUAAAAAUUAGGGGUUUUUUUUGCAUUUAGUCCCGCGGUAAAUUUUUAUUUUAAAAAUAGUCCUAUCAAAAUUUAAUUUGCAAAAAUGGCCAUGGGCCUGCCACGCAGACGCCACGUCACCGUGUUUUAUAUUUGUAUUUCUUUUUUUCCCUUUUUCAAAAAUCCGAACCCGAAUCCGAAAAUCAAAUUAAAACGCAAACUCGACGGAUUUUAAAAAUUUAUACCCAUAUACAUAUCCGACUAAAAACUCGAAAUCUGAACCUGAACCCAGCGGGUUUUAAAAAUCUAUACCGUUGGAUGAAGAUUUAAGGAAUAAAAAUUAUUAAAUAUUUUAUAUAUUGUAUAAAUAAAUAAAAAUAAAUUAUAUAUAUAUAUAUAUAAUUUAUUCGGAUUUGGAUUUGAAUAAUAUUUCGAAUAUCCAUACCCAUUGAUAUUCCUACUCCCUAUUCCUCUUUUUAUAGUUUACCGUGUUUAACUUACCUACCGCCCCCAGCUCGCAUGGCGCUGACGUGGCGCUUGCAUGGCAGGAGUAGGGCCAUUUUUGUAAAUAUAAAUUUGAUGAGAUUAUUUUGAAAAAUAAUUUUUUUCAGGGUCCAAUUGCAAAAAAACCCGAAAAAUUAGUGAUAUAGAGUUCUCACAUAGAAAAACACAAAAGUAAAAAAUAAAAAAUAAAAAAAUAUUAAAU
rnacentral:lncRNA from 1 species